GACGAACGAUGGCGGCGUGCUUAACACAUGCAAGUCGAGCGAGAAACUUCGGUUUCUAGCGGCGGACGGGUGAGUAACACGUGGGCAACCUGCCUCACAAUGGGGAAUAGCCUUCCGAAAGGAAGAUUAAUACCGCAUAACACAAAGGAAACGCAUGUUUCUUUUGCCAAAGAAUUUCGUUGUGAGAUGGGCCCGCGGCGCAUUAGCUUGUUGGUGAGGUAACGGCUCACCAAGGCGACGAUGCGUAGCCGACCUGAGAGGGUGAUCGGCCACAUUGGAACUGAGACACGGUCCAGACUCCUACGGGAGGCAGCAGUGGGGAAUAUUGCACAAUGGAGGAAACUCUGAUGCAGCAACGCCGCGUGAGUGAUGAAGGUCUUCGGAUUGUAAAGCUCUGUCUUCUGGGACGAUAAUGACGGUACCAGAGGAGGAAGCCACGGCUAACUACGUGCCAGCCGCCGCAGUAA
rnacentral:rRNA from 1 species